GUGGAAAGGAAGACUUCUGCAUUAUAUCUGCUAAGCAAAUCAAGAUAUAACAGUUCAAGAAGCCUGCAAGAAACCUGGUGUGCUAGCGCCUACACCUGCAGUCUAUAGCCAACAUGAGGAAAGACAUGGAGCCAAUGAGAAACUACACAGACAAGCAGGUGGCAGUUUGGGAUUUCCAGUCAGAAAUGCACGUUUCAUCAGCCUGCAUUAUUUAAGUAACCCAGGUGAAGGAAUCUGCUCC